GAUGAACGCUGGCGGCGUGCUUAACACAUGCAAGUCGAGCGAGGGAGCACCUUCGGGUGUGAACUAGCGGCGGACGGGUGAGUAACACGUGGGCAACCUGCCUUACAGAGGGGGAUAGCCUUCCGAAAGGAAGAUUAAUACCGCAUAUUAUGAUUUUUCUGCAUGGGAAAGUCAUGAAAGGAGCAAUCCGCUGUAAGAUGGGCCCGCGGCGCAUUAGCUAGUUGGUGAGGUAAGGGCUCACCAAGGCGACGAUGCGUAGCCGACCUGAGAGGGUGAUCGGCCACAUUGGGACUGAGACACGGCCCAG
rnacentral:rRNA from 1 species